rnacentral:rRNA from 1 species
GUGCCAACGGCAUAGCUGGGUAGCUAUGUGUGGACGGGAUAAGUGCUGAAAGCAUCUAAGCAUGAAGCCCCCCUCAAGAUGAGAUUUCCCAACUUCGGUUAUAAGAUCCCUCAAAGAUGAUGAGGUUAAUAGGUUCGAGGUGGAAGCAUGGUGACAUGUGGAGCUGACGAAUACUAAUCGAUCGAAGACUUAAUCAAAUU